rnacentral:rRNA from 1 species
UACGUAGGUGGCGAGCGUUGUCCGGAAUUACUGGGUGUAAAGGGCGUGUAGGCGGGGAUGUAAGUCAGAUGUGAAAUUCCGUGGCUCAACCACGGACCUGCAUCUGAAACUAUGUCUCUUGAGUGCUGGAGAGGAAAGCGGAAUUCCUAGUGUAGCGGUGAAAUGCGUAGAUAUUAGGAGGAACACCAGUGGCGAAGGCGGCUUUCUGGACAGUAACUGACGCUGAGGCGCGAAAGCGUGGGGAGCAAACAGG